CAGUAGCCGCGGUAAUGCGAAGGGUGCAAGCGUUAAUCGGAAUUACUGGGCGUAAAGGGUGAGUAGGCGGAGAUAUAAGUUAGAUGUGAAAUGCCUGAGCUUAACUUAGGAACAGCAUUUAAAACUGUAUGAUCUAGAGUUUGUAAGAGGGGGGUAGAAUUCCGAGUGUAGCAGUGAAAUGCGUAGAGAUUCGGAGGAAUACCGAUGGCGAAGGCAGCCCCCUGGUAUAGAACUGACGCUGAGUCACGAAAGCGUGGGUAGCAAACAGGAUUAGAUACCCGCGUAGUCCCUGUCUCUUAUA
rnacentral:rRNA from 1 species